rnacentral:pre_miRNA from 1 species
AAAAAAACAAACCCUGGGUUUCCGUGUCCAACGUUUGACCGUCUGUCUUAUUUGAAAAAAUUAUGAAAAAAAAUUUAAAAGACAAGUCACGCAUAAAGUAUUAAUCAUGUUUUAUCAUCUAACAACAAUAAAAAUACUAACUAUAAAAAAAUUCAUAUAAGACGGACAGUCAAACGUUGGACACGGAAAUCCAUGGUUUGUCUUUUU